AUGAGCACUCCACCCUCGGCAUAUGCCUUCCCCGGCCUCCUCCUCCUCCUCCUCGGCGGAGCGGUCAUCGUCUCCGCCGAGAAUAACAAAGACUGCCACCCAAGCGAUAAGGCCGCGCUUCUCGUUGUCAAGUCUGCCUUCGGCAACCAGAGCCACUUUGCCUCGUGGACUCCUUCCACCCCGUGCUGCGAACGGCACGACGCCACUUGCAACGACGCCGGUCGCGUCAUCUCCCUCCUCUUCUUCGUGGAUUUCACCCUUACGGGCACCAUCCCGAACGCCAUGUCCGGCCUCGUCGAGCUUCUCGUCCUCAACCUCUAUUACCUCCCGGCCAUCUCCGGCCAUAUCCCCAAGGGAAUCGCCAAGCUAUCCAAACUCACCUCGCUCGGCAUCUCUCUCACCUCCGUUUCGGGCCCCGUUCCGUCCUUCCUGGGCGCACUGACCAAGCUCGGAGUGAUAGAUCCUAUGGAUCGUGGUAGGCUAGAUAUUUCCGGUAACCUACCUUCCUUGGGUGCGGAUGAGCUCGAUCCAGAGCCGGCCAUGGUGAUGUAG
rnacentral:rRNA from 1 species